UACGGGGGGGGGCAAGCGUUGUUCGGAAUUACUGGGCGUAAAGGGCUCGUAGGCGGCCAACUAAGUCGGAUGUGAAAUCCCCAGGCUCAACCUGGGAACUGCAUCCGAUACUGGAUGGCUUGAAUUCGGGAGAGGGAUGCAGAAUUCCAGGUGUAGCGGUGAAAUGCGUAGACAUCUGGAGGAAUACCGGUGGCGAAGGCGGCAUCCUGGACCGACAUUGACGCUGAGGAGCGAAAGCCAGGGGGAGCAAACGGG
rnacentral:rRNA from 1 species